UUAGAACGUCGUGAGACAGUUCGGUCCCUAUCUGCCGUGGGCGCUGGAGAAUUGAGGGGGGCUGCUCCUAGUACGAGAGGACCGGAGUGGACGCAUCACUGGUGUUCGGGUUGUCAUGCCAAUGGCACUGCCCGGUAGCUAAAUGCGGAAGAGAUAAGUGCUGAAAGCAUCUAAGCACGAAACUUGCCCCGAGAUGAGUUCUCCCUGAGACUAUAAGUCUCCUGAAGGAACGUUAAAGACGAUGACGUUGAUAGGCCGGGUGUGUAAGCGCAGCGAUGCGUUGAGCUAACCGGUACUAAUGAACCGUGAGGCUUAACCUUACAACGCCGAAG
rnacentral:rRNA from 1 species